CGUUGGGGGUAUCGACCCCCUCAGNGUCGUAGUUAACACGCUAAGUGGUCCGCCUGGGGAGUACGGUCGCAAGAUUAAAACUCAAAGGAAUUGACCGGGGACCCGCACAAGCAGCGGAGCGUGUGGUUUAAUUCGAUGCAACGCGAAGCACCUUACCAGGACUUGACAUGAGCUUGCACCAGCGGUAAUGCGCUGUCUCCUUCGGGAGCGGGUUCACAGGUGCUGCAUGGCUGUCGUCAGCUCGUGUCGUGAGGUGUUGGGUUCAGUCCCGCAACGAGCGCAACCCCUGUCGUUAGUUGAAUUUUUCUAGCGAGACUGCCGGUUAAACGGAGGAAGGCGGGGACGACGUCAAGUCAGCACGGCCCUUACGUUCUGGGCGACACACACGCUACAAUGGUUAGGACAAUGGGAUGCGAACCCGCGAGGGGGAGCCGAUCUAAGCAAACCUAGCCUCAGUUCAGAUUGGAGGCUGCAACCCGCCUCCAUGAAGUUGGAGUUGCUAGUAACCGCAAGUCAGCACAUUGCGGUGAAUACGUUCCCGGGUCUUGUACACACCGCCCGUCACACCACGAAAGUCGGCAACACCUGAAGCCGCUGGGCUAACCCGACAAGGGAGGCAAGCGUCGAGGGUGGGGUCGGUGAUUGGGGUGAAGUCGUAACAAGGUACC
rnacentral:rRNA from 1 species